ensembl:lncRNA
AUGCCUCUCGUUCUCGGGCCCCUAAUAGCAGCUCCUGAUAUUCUCGCUGCUUGCCAGGGACUGUGCCCUCCACUAGAGAGCGCUGUUGGACCGUUUUUGCGCAUCCAACCCUCUCACUGCAGUCCCCACGCUCAAACAUUGACUGUCUCGCCGCAAAGGGCGCUUCGAGCAGCAUUGGAUCGAGCUACCAUGUCGAGCGUUCCCUCAGACACUCUGCGCUAUUCAGCCUUCAGAAUCCGAGGAACGGUUCAAGGGUCUGGCAAAGACGGCCCGUUUAUGACGGCUCAUACAGCCGCCGCUUUUUCGCUAGCGGCAGAGCCCGAUGUUCAUCUUGUUGGAUUAAUUCCUGCCGUGGACACGCUUCAGGAUUAUACACAACGAGAUGCAACGGAUUUGACGCACGCGCUUCCCCGGCUUACGGACGCCGCGAGCUUUCCGUAUUCGGGCAUGUUAACGCGUAUGAAAACGCUGAAAAAGGCGGAAACCUUGAAACCACUGACGCUAUUUCGGGCCGCGUGGGAACGCUUGCCCGGCAUUUCGCAAUGGGUGUUACGCACGAUUCGUCUCGGAUACACCAUUCAGUUUCGAAAAGGCCCGCCUCCUUUCCGCGGAAUUCUUCCCACGGUUGUGAAACCAGAGGAAGUCGCGGUGCUGCGGCAAGAAAUGACAGCUCUGCUGAAGAAAGGGGCUAUAGAAGAAGUACACCCCUCUCAGAUGGAGUCAGGUUUUUACAGCCGCUAUUUUGUUGUACCAAAAAAAGGGGGCGGUUUGCGACCCAUAUUGGAUCUACGCCGUUUGAAUCUUGCACUCAGGACGAGCAAAUUCAGGAUGUUAACGGUAAAGUCCAUUUUGUCUCAGAUUCAACCAAACACUUGGUUUGUCACGAUCGAUCUGAAGGAUGCAUAUUUUCAUAUUCAGAUCAUCAAGAGACACAGGAAGUUCCUCAGAUUCGCUUUAGAGGGCAAAGCGUAUCAAUACCGUGUUCUUCCGUUCGGCUUAGCCCUGGCUCCCCGAACUUUUUCAAAAUGCAUGGACGCAGCUCUGGCCCCGUUGCGGCUCCAGGGCGUUCGUGUGUUGAAUUACUUGGACGAUUGGCUGGUGCUAGCUCAAUCACAGACUCAAGCACUCUCUCACCGAGAUUUAGUGCUGAAUCAUUUAAGCAGCCUGGGCUUAUGCACGAAUUUCCAGAAGAGUGUUUUAAUCCCCUCUCAACGGAUAACCUUUCUGGGGAUAGAUUUGGACUCUCGCGCGAUGACAGCCAGACUAUCUCUCCCGCGCGUUCAGUCUCUCACGUCAUGCGUGCGUCACUUCAAAGUAGGCCGCACAGUGACGGUGAGUUUGUGUCUCAGGCUGUUAGGUCUGAUGGCAGCGGCAUCCCCUGUAAUUCGUCUGGGCUUACUUCACAUGCGCCCUUUUCAGUGGUGGACGAAAAGUCAGAACAUUUCACCCCGUUGUUUUCCGCAUCGUACGAUUUCGGUGACACGGAGGUGUGUUAUGUCAAUAAAACAGUGGAUGUCAACCGAGUUCCUUCUAGCCGGAGUUCGGCUGGGGAUUUGUGCUUCCCGAGAGACUGUCACGACGGACGCGUCUUUGACCGGUUGGGGAGCUGUUUGUCAAGGGCGCCCAGCUCAUGGAGUGUGGACAGCGACACAACGCGGUUGGCACAUAAACAGGUUGGAACUACUGGCAGUUUUUCUAGCUCUCCAGUAUUUCUCAAAUCUGCUGACCGGCCGUCAUGUACUACUCAGGUCAGACAACAUGGCGGUUGUGUCAUACCUGAAUCAUCAAGGAGGGUUACGCUCUCGCCCCCUGUGCAGGCUGGCGAGGAGUAUUCUUCUUUGGUCUCGGAACAGAUUUCUAUCGAUCCGAGCAGUUCAUGUCCCCGGACGUUUGAACGUCGGAGCGGAUCUGCUAUCCAGACAGACUCUGGAGCAGGGGGAAUGGAGAUUACACCCACAGACGGUGAGCCUUUUAUGGCAGAUAUUCGGAGAGGCGAGAGUGGACUUAUUCGCGUCGAGCACGACUACGCAUUGCCCGCUGUGGUUCUCCCUAUGCCCUCCAUCGCCCCUAGGCCUGGAUGCGUUAGCUCACGAUUGGCCCAGGACCAGCUUGUAUGCUUUUCCUCCAAUUCGUUUAAUUCCAGCGGAGUUGUCUAGGAUACGGCUGGGCAGAGAGGAGCAGCUGCUGCUGGUGGCUCCGUGGUGGCCCACACAGCCGUGGUUUGCGGAACUGGUCAGUCUAAUAGUGGGCUCUCCAUGGGAGAUUCCCCUCAGACAGGACUUACUAUCGCAAGCACGAGGGAUGAUUUGGCACCCGAGGCCAGAUCUGUGGAAACUGUGGGCGUGGCCUCUGAGCGGAGUGAGUUAA